CUCCUUCUCUCUCGUAUUCUUCUUGAGCUUUCCAAAAGAAACAUAAGGGCUAAGGGCCAAAUUCUUGGGAUUUUGAGGAAAUUCUUUGUGAAUUGAAGUGUUUUGGAAGGGAUUGGGAGUUGUUGGUUUCUUCAUUAAUCAAGGAAUCUCGAAUUUCAUCUCAGGGAUAUUAACGUAAGCCUAGCACUGGGAGACGCACUUUACUAGUCAUCGACCGUACAUAUGGUGCUAGUGAUGCAAAUUAUGCGGUUAUUACCAUAAUCUUAGUGUCGAGAGAUGCACUCUACUAGGCAUCGACCGUACAUAUGGUAUUGGUGAUGGAAAUUUACUUGGUAAGGGCAAGGGAAAAGUCGACCAGCCAUGAGUUUGAGGGCUUUGGAGUGGCGCUUACAUGUUCGGCUUGCUUGGCCACCACGGUCAAGUUAUUUUGAGGGACUUAGAGUAUAAGUCUAGGUUUAUCACUUAGACUGACUAUAUUGUAAACUUUGUUUGUAAUUAAGUUUUAGUUAACUAUUUUCAAAUUCCCUUUGUGAUUAUUUAAGUUAUAAAUGAAAAUUUUAUAUCUUUGAUCAAAAAUUUUGAAUGCCCAAACCUUCAACUAGUUUUAUUACACUUUUGAGUCCAAAUGACUCAUUUAGCGAGUUAAGCACUACUUUAAACACACAGUGUAACUGUCUUGGAUUAGUAUGGUGUUGCAACUUUGUAUGAGAGGUGCCAAGGCUUUAUGGUUCCUAAAAAUUGGCCGAACAUGUACGCUCACUACUAAAGAAAAGCUCGACUCGCAGUUCGAUGGGUAUUGUGUGGAAUGUGUGCUUAACUGCUGAAUUGAAAUAUAUGCCUUAUCUGCAUGCUAGAAUAGGGAGCAUGAAAUAUACUGAUAAGGUUUGGCCCUUGAUUGUUAGGUGAAUAUGGAAGAAAUUCUUAUUAUCAUUGUUGUUAAAUGUGAGUGUGAUAGAAAUGCUUAUCAGUAUUGUUGCUGCAUGUGUAUGCUCUAUUUUGUUCAGUUUUGACCGUGGGACGGUUUCUGGAUAUGUUAUCAUUGCCUAAUAAGUCGAGUCAUUGAUUGCCGACAUACUUAGA